rnacentral:rRNA from 1 species
GAAUUUUGGACAAUGGGCGAAAGCCUGAUCCAGCAAUGCCGCGUGCAGGAUUAAGGCCUUCGGGUUGUAAACUGCUUUUGUACGGAAAGACAAGCUUUGGGUUAAUACCCUGGCGUCAUUACUGUACCGGAAGAAUAAGCACCUGCCACCUACUUGCCCGCAGCCGCGGUAAUACGUAGGGUGCAAGCGUUAAUCGGAAUUACUGGGUGUAAAGCGUGCGCAGGCGGUUGUGUAAGACAGAGGUGAAAUCCCCGGGCUCAACCUGGGAACUGCCUUUGUGACUGCAAGGCUAGAGUACGGCAGAGGGGGGUGGAAUUCCGCGUGUAGCAGUGAAAUGCGUAGAUAUGCGGAGGAACACCGAUGGCGAAGGCAACCCCCUGGGCCUGUACUGACGCUCAUGCACGAAAGCGUGGGGAGCAAACA